UCAGAUCACCUCUUGGCUGUGAG
rnacentral:miRNA from 1 species